UCAGGAUGAACGCUGGCGGCGUAGCUUAACACAUGCAAGUCGAACGAAGCAUUUAGCGGUACAUUUCGGAUGGAGUAAAUGACUGAGUGGCGACGGGUGAGUAACGCGUGGAUAACCUACCAUAUACAGGGGGACAACAGUUGGAAACGACUGCUAAUACCGCAUAAGCGCACAGUGCCGCAUGGCACGGUGUGAAAAACUCCGGUGGUAUAUGAUGGAUCCGCGUCUGAUUAGCUAGUUGGUGAGGUAACGGCCCACCAAGGCAACGAUCAGUAGCCGACCUGAGAGGGUGACCGGCCACAUUGGGACUGAGACACGGCCCAAACUCCUACGGGAGGCAGCAGUGGGGAAUAUUGCACAAUGGGCGAAAGCCUGAUGCAAGCGACGCCGCGUGAGCGAAGAAGUAUUUCGGUAUGUAAAGCUCUAUCAGCAGGGAAGAAAAUGACGGUACCUGACUAAGAAGCCCCGGCUAACUACGUGCCAGCAGCGGC
rnacentral:rRNA from 1 species